UACGUAGGGAGCAAGCGUUGUCCGGAAUCAUUGGGCGUAAAGCGCGCGUAGGUGGCCCCGUAAGUCCGCUGUGAAAGUCAAAGGCUCAACCUUUGAAAGCCGGUGGAUACUGUGGGACUAGAGUACGGAAGAGGCGAGUGGAAUUCCUGGUGUAGCGGUGGAAUGCGCAGAUAUCAGGAGGAACACCAAUAGCGAAGGCAGCUCGCUGGGACGUUACUGACACUGAGACGCGAAAGCGUGGGGAGCGAACAGG
rnacentral:rRNA from 1 species